CUUUCGGAAAUGAUCUCCCCAUGCAACAUCUCUCCGGCUGAAUAUUUUGCAUAUCUUUACCAACUGUUUUUUUCAGAAGACGGCUUUUCCUGUUCACCAAAAAGGCAAAGGAUGUGGGUACAGGUUAGAUUUGUUUAGUGAAGCCGGUAAGAGAGUGAUGUCAGGGCAAGUAAACUAAGGCAUGUUGUGGCUGGCCAACUUGGACCAUUGCUGGACCACUGACAGACUGAGCUGCCACGGCAUGCAGCACCACCCCUGGUGUGUCCUAUGCGAUCAGGAGCCGGAAACGAUGUACCACCUGCUAGUUGCGUGCCCCUUCUCUCGGCAAAUUUGGCACAAUGCCCUCUCUUGGCUCCGCCUGACCCGACCCAGGACGACAACCUAAAGGACUGGUGGCGGCAAGCCAAACAGGCCACGCCGCGGCCAAUGCAAAAAGGGCUUGCAUCGGCGGUCCACUUGCGGCGUGGAUGAUCUGGAAGCAGCGGAAUGCCUGCGUGUUCGACGCCGCACAACCAUCCUCAACCCAGCUCAUGGCGAGAAUCAAAGACGAGGCUACACUCUGGGUCCGGGCAGGCGCCACUGGCCUGGGACUGGGGCGUACACUAAUUUUCUUGCAUUUUGAUCCUGUAUCUCUCCUGCUCGGAGACCUGUACUGCUAAACUCUCCUUCUAUUCAAUGAAAUGAAACACAAAGUCUUUGCGUUUUCCCGAAAAAAAAAUCAUCAAAGAUUGAGGAUGACUGGAAAAUCUACAGUGCAGUUUAUUUUUUGCACGGAAGAAUGGGUAGUUGACUUGUAGUAGAUUACAGCAUGCAACCAAUAAUAGUGAAGCACUGAAACAUCAGUGCGAACUAGGAAGCUGUCUGGUGGGCUGGGGGCAGUUGUGUAAAAUCCAAUUUUCUUGACCCAAAUUAUUCAUGGUGACUGGGUCUAUGACUACGAGGGGCAGAACAAAUGGAAGCAAGAUCUCCUUUCUUUCCCUGUCAUGCUCUUUCAUGGUUAGACCACCAUUGGUGCUUUAUCCAGUCAGGGGACAACAUAAGCUCACCAGAAACCAUGCAGACACUCCAUUUUCCCAACAAGACAUACAAGAUAGGGCACAUACCUUCCCUUGGCCUUGCUCUUGUGCUGCUGAUAUGCUUGGCCUCUCCUACGAGUUCCUGCAUGCAGCAGGAGAAGGGCUCCCUUCUUCAGUUCCUCGGCGGGCUCUCACGUGAUGGUGGCCUCGCUGUGUCAUGGAAGAAUGGCUCAGAUUGCUGCCAGUGGGAAGGGAUCACCUGCAGCACAGAUGGGAUUGUUACGGAUGUCUUGCUGGCUUCUAGGAGUCUUCAGGGGCACAUCACACCUUCUCUUGGGAACAUCACUGGAUUGUUGCGCCUCAACCUGUCGAAUAAUCUGCUAUCAGGUGGUCUACCGCAGGAACUGGUAUCCUCCAGCAGCAUCCUCAUCUUAGAUGUCAGCUUUAACCGUCUCGGAGGAGAGCUGCACGAGUUGUCGUCUGCCCAUGCCCGGCCACUGAAGGUACUGAACAUCUCGAGCAAUUUGUUUACAGGACAGUUUCCGUCCUCCACAUGGCAGGGGAUGAAAAAUCUGGUUGCACUCAAUGCCAGCAACAACAGCUUUACUGGGCAGCUACCAACUCAUUUCUGUGCCAGCUCGCCAUCCUUGGCAGUGCUCGAACUCUGCUACAACCAAUUCAGAGGGAGCAUCCCCCCUGAACUUGGUAGCUGCUCCGUGCUCAGAGUGCUCAAGGCUGGCCACAACAACCUCAGCGGGACUCUCCCAGACGAACUCUUCAAUGCUAGCUUGUUAGAAUUCCUCUCCUUUCCUGGGAACAGAUUACAAGGAAGGCUUCAAGGCUCACUUAUAGCCAAACUCGAAAAUCUGGGUACUCUUAAUCUUGGAGACAACAUCAUCAGCGGCAAGAUUCCAGAGUCUAUAGGUCAUCUCAAGAGAUUGGAGGAACUCCAUUUAAACAACAACAACAUGUAUGGGGAGCUGCCACCAAGUCUGACCAACUGCACAAAUCUCAUGACCAUCGACUUCAAGAGCAACAAUUUCAGCGGAGAACUCGCCAAGGUCAAUUUCUCCAACCUACCCAAUCUACAAACUUUAGAUCUUAUGCACAACAUCUUCACUGGCAAAAUUCCGGAAAGCAUCUACUCAUGCAGAAAUCUAACUGCACUGCGGCUAUCUUCCAAUAUGUUCUAUGGCCAGCUGUCAGAAAAGAUAGGCAAUCUGAAGUCCCUCUCAUUCCUGUCAUUUACUAACAACAAUCUUACAAAUAUCAGAAGUGCACUUCAUAUCCUUAAGAGAUGCAGGAAUCUUACGACCCUGCUUAUUGCGCUCAACUUCAGGAGAGAAAUCAUGCCAGAGGAUGACAUGAUUGAUGGUUUUGAAAAUCUUCAGGUUUUUAGCGUCGGAGGAUGCGAAUUAUUUGGACAAAUGCCUCACUGGAUAUCAAGGCUAGCAAAUUUACAAAUAUUAAUCUUGUCUGGCAAUCAACUCACUGGAUCAAUACCAGCCUGGAUCAAAACCCUAAGCAACCUGUUUUUUCUGGACAUAUCAAACAACAGCCUCGCAGGGGAUAUUCCGACAGCCCUUAUGGAUAUGCCAAUGCUAAAGUCAGAUAAGAGUGAAGCCCAUUUAGCCCCAGGGGUAUUUGAGCUACCUGUUUAUGACAGUCUAUCACGUCAAUACCGUGUACCUAUUGCUUUGCGUAAUGUGCUGGAUCUAAGCCACAACAAAUUCACUGGUGAAAUCCCCCUUGAGGUAGGCCAGUUGAAAGCCCUCCUUUCACUCAAUUUAAGUUUCAAUCACUUGACAGGACAGAUCCCACAGUCAAUAUCCGAUCUCACAAACCUGCAGCUGUUAGACUUGUCGAGCAAUAAUCUAACAGGUGCAAUUCCGGAUACAUUGAGUAGACUGAACUUCCUUUCAAAAUUUAACAUUUCAAACAAUGGCCUUGAAGGGCCUAUUCCAUCUGGAGGCCAGUUCGAUACAUUUCAGAAUUCUAGUUUCGAUGGGAAUCCAAAGCUGUGUGGCCCUUUUCACACUCACAAAUGUGGUUUAUUUUUAAUACCUUCAUCCUCCAGAAAGAAACAAGAUACGAAGGCUGUUUUUGCAAUCGCAUUUGGCGUGUUCUUCGGAGGCAUUGCUAUUGUUUUGUUGCUGGGGCGUCUCCUUGUCUCGAUCAGGCAGAAGGAUAUUAUGGCAAAACAUAGAAGGGAGACUAAUGGAGAUAUUGAAGAGGCUUCAUUCUGCGCCAAGUCAGAGCAAACAUUAGUGGUGAUGUGGAUGCCAAAAGGAAACGGAGAAGAAAACAAGCUCAAAUUCGCUGACAUUUUGAAAGCCACGAACAACUUUGACAAGGCGAACAUCAUUGGAUGUGGAGGUUAUGGACUAGUCUACAAAGCGGAGCUGCCUGAUGGCUCCAAGCUGGCAAUAAAAAAGCUCAAUGGUGAUAUGUGUCUAAUGGAAAGGGAGUUCAGUGCAGAGGUUGAUGCACUCUCCAGGGCACAACAUGAAAACCUUGUACCACUGUGGGGUUACUGCCUCCAGGGAAACUCAAGGUUUCUUGUAUAUUCCUACAUGGAGAAUGGAAGCCUGGAUGAUUGGCUCCAUAACAGGGAUGAAGAUGCUAGCUCAUUUCUUGACUGGCCGACUCGACUCAAGAUCGCACAAGGAGCAAGCCUGGGACUUUCUUAUAUCCAUGAAAUCUGCAACCCUCAGAUUGUCCACCGAGACAUCAAAUCCAGUAACAUCCUACUGGACAAAGAAUUUAAAGCUUAUGUUGCAGAUUUUGGGCUAGCCAGAUUGAUUCUUCCCAACCAAACUCAUGUCACAACUGAUCUGGUCGGUACAAUGGGUUACAUUCCCCCCGAGUAUGGGCAAGCAUGGGUUGCUACAUUGAGAGGUGAUAUGUACAGUUUCGGAGUAGUACUGCUUGAGCUGCUCACUGGAAUGCGCCCUGUUUCAAUCCUAUCAACGUCAAAGGAACUUGUCCCAUGGGUGCUGGAGAUGAGGUCCGAGGGGAAGCAGGUUGAGGUCCUAGAUCCAACACUUGGAGGCACAGGACGUGAAGAUCAAAUGUUAAAGGUGCUUGAAGCUGCUUCCAAAUGUGUCGAACCCAAUCAGUUCAUGAGGCCAACCAUCAUGGAAGUAGUCUCCUGCCUGGCCAGUAUAGAUGCUGAUCCGCAGAUGCAAAGAUGAGCCAACAUACAAGCCACACAUGAUAGAUAAUCUUGCAGUUUUGUGCAUUACGUUAUUCUAGUUUCAGUAGAGCUACUACUUGUGAUAAUCAGUUUGUUUUGCACUUUUGCACGGAGCCUUAGAACAGGUUGCCAUCUUGGGCUUUGCGUGCUUUUUCAGGAAAUGUUUUGGUAUUCAUGUUGCUUCAGAUAUUUUCUGUGAGGACCUACAGAUGUUUCUGUAUGUAUUAUAUUAAUAUAUGCUUUAAGUUUCACAAGCAUGAGGCAAAGUAUAAUCAUGUGGAAUGACUGUCUUGUUUUGUCAGUGAAAGAUUGGAAAAUAGUUUUCAUUAAUUGGGUAGAUAUUAUGUACUUACUAUAUUGGGCUACAACAAAUGUUUGGUUGGUCCAAUCGUCAAACAAAUGGAAUGAGAAACUGAGAAUGUAACAAUACGACUACCAUCUUUGAAAUACAAACAACUUAGUAGGCAGUCACUAGCAGAACAGGAGAGUAAUGGCGAUAAGAAGCACCUACCAUGUAGGAGGAUGCAGGCGGCCUUGCAACGUAAUGUAGCUCGCUCCUCCGGCAUAUACAUAUAUGCAUCAAAACUAGGAUCCCACCCGGACUCUGGAAGGCAACCGUCGCGGACUCGAGG
rnacentral:lncRNA from 1 species